UGGGGAAUUUUGCACAAUGGGGGAAACCCUGAUGCAGCGACGCCGCGUGAGCGAUGAAGGCUUUCGAGUCGUAAAGCUCUGUCCUAUGGGAAGAUAAUGACGGUACCAUAGAAGAAAGCCCCGGCUAAUUACGUGCCAGCAGCCGCGGUAAUACGUAAGGGGCGAGCGUUGUCCGGAAUUAUUGGGCGUAAAGAGUGCGUAGGCGGCAAAUUAAGUCAGAUGUGAAAACUAAGGGCUCAACCCAUAGAUUGCAUCUGAAACUGAUAUGCUUGAGUCAAGGAGAGGAAAGUGGAAUUCCUAGUGUAGCGGUGGAAUGCGUAGAUAUUAGGAGGAAUACCGGUGGCGAAGGCGACUUUCUGGACUUGAACUGACGCUGGGGCACGAAAGCGUGGGGAGCAAACAGG
rnacentral:rRNA from 1 species